CCUGGCUCAGGAUGAACGCUAGCGGCAGGCCUAACACAUGCAAGUCGAGGGGCAGCGCGAUGUAGCAAUACAUUGGCGGCGACCGGCGCACGGGUGCGUAACACGUAUGGAACCUGCCCUGUACUGGGAGAUAACCCGGAGAAAUCCGGACUAAUAUCCCAUAACAACCGAGGUGGCAUCACCUUGGCUUGAAAGCUCCGGCGGUACGGGAUGGCCAUGCGCCCGAUUAGCUAGUUGGUGAGGUAACGGCUCACCAAGGCUACGAUCGGUAGGGGGCCUGAGAGGGUUAUCCCCCACACUGGUACUGAGACACGGACCAGACUCCUACGGGAGGCAGCAGUGAGGAAUAUUGCGCAAUGGAGGCAACUCUGACGCAGCCAUGCCGCGUGCAGGAAGAAGGCCCUACGGGUUGUAAACUGCUUUUAACCGGGAAGAAACCCCUUUACGUGUAGAGGGUUGACGGUACCGGAGGAAUAAGCACCGGCUAACUUCGUGCCAGCAGCCGCGGUAAUACGAAGGGUGCAAGCGUUAUCCGGAUUCAUUGGGUUUAAAGGGUGCGUAGGCGGGCCUAUAAGUCAGUGGUGAAAUCCUGCAGCUCAACUGUAGAAUUGCCAUUGAUACUGUAGGUCUUGAGUACGCUCGACGUAGGCGGAAUGUGCCGUGUAGCGGUGAAAUGCUUAGAUAUGGCACAGAACACCGAUAGUGAAGACAGCUUACGAGGGCGAAACUGACGCUGAGGCACGAAAGCGUGGGGAUCGAACAGGAUUAGAUACCCUGGUAGUCCACGCCGUAAACGAUGAUCACUCGUGAUUGGCGAUAUACGGUCAGUCACCUAGCGAAAGCGUUAAGUGAUCCACCUGGGGAGUACGAUCGCAAGAUUGAAACUCAAAGGAAU
rnacentral:rRNA from 1 species